AUCACCUAGUAUCAGAGUAGUGUUCUUGGCAUCUCGCUGCCCUUCCACUGCCAUCCAUCAACCCUCCACAACCGCCCAAAGCAAUUCCCACAAUUGCUUAAAAGAUCAUCGCCAAAUUCCACCAUCAUCUCCACCACCGCAGAUCAUCCUUUGAUCUCCCCGUGAAUUGCAACAGGUUCUGGUUUCCUACCUUACUGCUGCUGCAAUUUAGUUAUCCCUAUUCGAAAAUCCAAAAAAAAAA
rnacentral:lncRNA from 1 species